GAAGGUAGCUUGCACUAAGGAAGCCGUCAAAACGGUUAUACGUGUGUCAGCAGCACAGGUCAGCCCUGCUCAGUUCUGGACAGGUGUGAGAUGGGACAUAGCCGGAGCUCACAGGUGAGGAGCUGGAGUUCAUGUCUUCUCCCAUAGUCACCAAGGAAACGUGUGCCUUUUAAGGAGGGAGCCUGGGGAAACCUUUGGACCGUGUGGGAAAAGCAUAAAAUACUGAAAAUCCUAAAGUAACCAAAUCUCUGAGUGUGCAAGGCUGAAGCCAGAGAUCCCAGGAAAGUUCUGGGGUGUACAGAACAGGAGGAGCACAAGGACCGAGCAGGUGGCAAGAAAGUAAGCUCCGUGCGGCUUCCUCACCCCCUUUCCAGGGCCAGGCCCCAGAGAGCUGGAUUCCGAUCUUUCCUGUAGUUUCUUGAAAUGGUGCUGGGUUUCCCGAGGCUUCUGCCUGCUCCCAACCCCAGCCUAGAGAGCACUGAGCGACAGAUACUGUAAACAUCCUACACUCUCAGCUGUGGACAGUAAGGAGCUGGGAGAAGGCUGUUUACUCUCUCUGCCUUGGAAAUCAACUAAGGAGAAGCGGAUGGGGGGUAUUUCUAUGUCUUACAAUCAAUCCUAUCCUGUGAUCCCUUCUGAAGAAACUCUUAAGAGGAAAAAAGUGAAUUAAUGAAUUCAUGCUGAGAAAUGUAAAAUGAAUGUAUUAGUGAGCAGUUCUACAAGGAGAAAGGAAACUAAGGAAGUCACAUUUAAAAAUGUGGAAUAAUGUCUAUAGUUAUCAUUGAAGUGUCUCAGAAAGAACGAAAAAGAUUACCAGAUAGCCGAGGUGAAUGUGUUCAUAGCUGGUGCGAGGCCACACUAUAUGGAUUACUGUGACCUGGCCUAUAAAGGCAAGAAAACACUAAGUGCCUGUGCAUUAAGCCAAACAGUUCUCCAUUAACCUGAGUAGCAUUUAUACGCUAAGUUUAGCUUUUUUGGAAGCAGAAAUUGUAGUGUCCUGGAGCUUGCUACUUUAUCAGAAAUCAGAGGCAAUUUGGAACUCCGUGCUUCAAGAGUGGUAGUGACAUGUGAUAUGAAUAAAAGAUGCUAUUUAAAUCUAGAAUAUAGUUACACAUUUCAAGAAAAAUAGGAUUGUGGGUGGUGCUUGGAGGUGAGGGAUGGCCUACAAAAAGACAAUUUUCAGAAAAAUCUGCAGAACUAACUUAUAGGUUCAGCCUUAACUGGGAAAACCAUGGUCUUUAUUUCUUCAUCCAAUAAAUCAUGUACAUCAAAUAUUUAUUCAACAUCUAAUCUAUAAUUUACCUAAAUUUGAAUCUUUUCUAAUCAAUUUAAAAUAAGCCUUUUUUUCAAAGAGAUCAUUUAAAAGGAUAAGGUAUUUUUUAUAUAGCAAGCUCUUAAGAAAUUUAAUAAAUGUCUGCUUCAAAUCUUAAACAAAUUUGAGCCAAAUUGCUUGCAUUAGUCUUGGCGUAUCAUUAUAUGUGUUACUUAAACUAGAAGACAACUCUGUUGCUUUAAAAGUAUUAGAGGAACUUUUAACGUUCCUUCCUCCCCAAGUUUAGAGAAUAACACAAUAGGACAGCUUGUUUCAUGCGAACCUAAUGACAACAACAAAACUAUAUAAACACGACUCUAGUGUGUGAUUUCAAGGAAGCGUUUGGACAGGCUCGUCUUGCAGCAGUAGCAGGCAUUGUUAAAGUGCUUGCUGAGCAACUUGGUUUGGUUGAGUCAUUAACCUGCCUAGAUUUUGCCCACAGGCUGAAGGAAACCCUCCUGGAGACAAGUCACAAAGAUGUUUGAUAUUUUGCUUCCUGCCAGGAGAUGUGGAUUUUAUGGAUGAGAAAUCUGUGGUGAGAGAUAUUAAGAAAAUUACCCCAGGUAUGUUUACAAGCCUUUAGAACUGGUAUUUCAGACUUUGGCAACACAGCACCAAAAAUGACCUCCAAACCACACAAUGAUAUGCACACUGUCCUCUAAUUUAUUGUCUUACUUUUAUUUAUUAUUUAUCAUCCCCAUUUGGGGGAGGUGGAGGCCGAAGUUGAAAGAAUUAAGAGACUGUUGUGGUCACUGAAGUUGUUUACAAGUACAUGUAUUCUGGGUCUCCUCUCCUGGCACAUUAAAAGAAAAAAAGCCUCUACUCCAUGACCUCUGAGGUUAGGUGUCCAUGUGUGACUCACUUCCAUCAAUAAAAUGUGAACAGAAGUGACAGGAAGUAUUAAGAGCUUGUAUACAAGCCAGGCAUGGUGGCACACACCUGUAAUCACAGGUACUCAGGAGGAUUGCAAGUUCAAGAGACAGUCUGAAAAUAAGAAAAAGGAUUGGAGAUGUAGCUCAGUGGUGGAGCGCCCCAGACUUGAUCUCCUGUAGUGCAGGAAGGGUGUGUGUGCAAUUAGCUUGUGCACUUCCCUCGAGCUUGGCUCAGCUCCUGUCAAAGCAGAGUCUGUGACACUCUGGAUCUUUCAGUGACUGUUGAGCAGUCCCUCUCUUUGUCUGGCCUUGACAUACAAGCAAAUGGGUAAAAUCCUAAGAUUCAGUGGGAGCAGAGAAAGGUAGGAGGUAAUGACCACAACAUAAAAUAGCCUAAACUAACAAACUCACCUAAGUACACAUAAAUGCAUAAACUUCUAUAGCUCAUUGGUGCCAGAUAUAUGUCUGGAAUCCAAGUCUCUGACUUAACAGUUCAUAGGAUUGUUUGGUUUUGUUCUGUUUUAACCUGUGUUUUGGUAUUAUAUGACCUGCAAGAACCCAAACUCCAUUCUUUUGACUGCUUUCUGUCUAGCAAUAAUGAAAGUGCAUAAAACGUUCAGCCCAAUGUCUAUGGUUCGUCCAGGACUAAGAACAUGCAAAAGAAAAAUCUCUCAUUCUUUGGCCCAUGUGUUUUGUCUGGAGCUUAAUACCAUGAUUUGUAGUCUCAAAAAAAACUAUUCUGACUUUUAAGUUCUGGGAUUCAAGCUCUAGCCACAGACUAUCACCAGUAAUGUUAGCUAAAGGGGCUAAUUAGUCAUGAAUGGUACUCACAGUACACACAGUUAUCAUGGUACCUACCAGGUGAUACCUGCCUUCAUUCCCUUGUGAGUUAUCAUUCACCCAAAUCCUCUGACUCUGUAAUCUCAAGUAAUAGGAUUUGAUAGGUAAAUAUAAAGUAAUACAUUUUUUUUUUUUCACAAACGGCACAUUUCCCAGGUUGGAGUGUUUAAAUUCUGAACUGCAGGGAUUUCUAACUCUUAUCAACAGAAUCCAUAAGACAAUCUAGCUAUAUAGCACUGUUAUGACAAUGAAUGACAUAGACCGCAUGAAAUUCUGAACAUCUUCCCUGAGAACUAUCUUCCUAAGAGCCACAUGAAUAGAAGAGUUGGAGAGCCCUGUCUCUUGCAUUUUUUGAGUUACUGAAUGACAACGGUUGUAAGUCCCCUGUGUUCACUGAAGUAACCUAUGAUUGGAUCACAGUCCAUUGGGAACACAUUGGCAGCCAUCUGGCAAAUGGACUGACAUUCCGCCUGGGGAAAAGGAAAAUAAAACAGAGAUAAAUUAAAACGUUGAUCCAUGCUGAGGAAAAGCAAGUGGAAAGCAGAUGUUAAAGGUGACUUUGGCAAAAUUCAACUGAGGACUUCUCAGUAAAAAAAAAAAAAAAAAAAAAACUGUAGAAAAUAGCAAUGGACACGGCAUUUCCACUGGCCUCAAGAAAAAGGUCGGGUACCCACUAACUGCCCUAUAAUCUGGUAGUAUCUGAAAGCAACACUCAAUGUAGUUAGACUAGGGAAAAUAACCAAAGGUAUAGGAAUAGGAAAUGAGUUUGCUCAAAUUUGUAGAUGACAUUAUAGCAUGUGUGGAAAAUCCUAGAGAAUCAAUGAUAAAAUGAACUCAAUAAAAAAAUCAGUAGGGUAGCAGGAUGAAAAAUUAACAUGUAAAACUCAGUAUCACUUGUAUGCACAAACAGGUACUAAUUAGAAGAUACAAUGAAUGCAAAAAAAAAAAUCACUGUAGUAAAUGGUAAUAAAAAUCAUGACAAUCAAAAUAUUUAGGAACAAACUUACCAAAAAGUGCCCAGAAACUAUGUGAAGAAAAUACUUCUAUGAGACACAAAAAUAAGCUUGAAAAGAUGGAGACAGAUGCUUUAUUAGCACAUCUCAGCAUUAUCAGGUUGUCAGUUCUCACUGUUACGUUACAAAAGCAACCCGAGUAAAAAUUCCAGUGGACUUUAAAUACCCUAUGCAAAGUGAACAUAGCGUGACAGAGAAGUGGGACAAAGACAGAAGAGGCAGGGAGAUGCGCAGAGAGAUUCCAGGCGUGGAAACAGCUUGCCUGCCGUGCUGCUGGGGAUGGAGGGAGGGGGCCCCAGUACAGCAACAGGACCAGAUUCUGAAAGGUGAGAAGCAAAGCCAGCCUGUGCCCAGCAAAGAAGUGAGAACUUCUCAUUUCCCAUGGGCAGCUGAGCUCUACCACAAACCACAAUCCUGGAAGUUCUUUCCCUGAUAACAUUGAUUUGGCCUUGGGGAACUAAUGCAGAGAAGCAGCCAUGCACACCAGACGUCUAUGGAAGUACCGCAUGAAGACACAGCAGAAGGCCGGGGAUAUAGCUUAGUGGCAUAAGCGCCUGCCUGGCAAGCACAAGGUCCUGAGUUCGAUUCCCAGUACCAAAAAAAGAAAACAGCAGAACACCACAAGCACUGCUGACCUCACACCCACGCUGCAAACCGGAGGUGACAUGUAUACACUCAUUGUGUUAUGGACAAAAAAUUAAUUACACUGAUGUUAACUGAAUUUUUAAAAAGUGAGAAGAGCCAAGAAAGUUUUGGAAGAACGAUCACGAAGGAAAGUUGGCUUCUCCAGAUUGAAAAGUUUCCAAAGCUGAAUAAUGAAAAUGGAGUAGUAUUAUUCUCAGGAAUAGACAAACACAUUGAUGAAAUAGAAAUAUGAGCCUACAUAUGAGAUUGUGUAUGUUAUAAAGAUCUUUAUAAGUUGAUAGAUACAAGGACUGGGGUAGCAGUGAGCAAACCAAACACCCAGCAGUUAGUUGGUCUUGGGUAAAAGGAACCAAGCCUUCUGGGAGAAAGCAGAUUCAAGGAGUAGCUCAGUUUCUAAUGAAAAGAUCUGCCUGAGGCAUUCAACAUGUUUUCCUCUUCUAUUCAAGUCCUAGCAAGCCAGCCAUAGUUAACUUCUACCUAGUCUUUGUUGUUGGUUUUAUUUUUAUUUUUUUAACUGAUACAUAAAAAAUUGUAUACAUGAAUGUGCUGCCACAUUACGUUUUGAUACACAUAUACAUUGUGUAGUAUUUAAAUCACCACCUGCUGUUGAAAGAGAUUGUCAGUCGAUCUUCCUGGGCUUCCAUGAAGUGUAUAGCAAUCUGCAGCACAUUAAAGAACUUCCACCAGUCUCAAA